GACAGAGGGUGCAAACGUUGUUCGGAAUUACUGGGCGUAAAGCGCGUGUAGGCGGCCAUCUAAGUCGGGCGUGAAAUCCCACGGCUCAACCGUGGAAGUGCACUCGAAACUGGAUGGCUAGAGUCCGGAAGAGGAGAGUGGAAUUCCUGGUGUAGCGGUGAAAUGCGCAGAUAUCAGGAAGAACACCCGUGGCGAAGGCGGCUCUCUGGGACGGUACUGACGCUGAGACGCGAAAGCGUGGGGAGCGAACAGG
rnacentral:rRNA from 1 species